CCUCCUUUCCUCCCCGUCCCCGGCCUCCUCCCGCGGCGCGCGAUCCCCUCUCCCAUCCCCUCCCCUCCCGAUCCCACCCACCAAACCGAUCCCGAUCCAGUCCAGAUCCACCAGUCCAGGCACGGCCAUGGCAUCGCGGUCGGCUUUCUUGCCCAAACCCGUGGGUUGGGGUUGUGUAACCCUAGCGCUCAACCCGCCCCCUUCCGCCCUCUCUCUCUCGAUUCAUUCUCCCAUCGUCGCCGCCCGCACCCACCCACCCACCCGCGACCUUGUUCCCCUUCCACCUCACCGACGUGCUCCACCCUCUCCCGCACUGGCACUGCCCCCUCCACCCACCCCCCCCCAUCCCCUCACCUUCUCCCCCUAACCUAGGUCCCGGACCGAGCGGCGGCCAUGGUGCUCCCAGAUCCGCCACGGCCGAAGUGCUGCCAGAUCCGCCGUCAUCAAGGGCUUCGAUCGGGGCCAUGAUGGAGGCGCUCGAGGUCCACUCCUUCCCCACCGUCAUGCGCCGGGAAAAGAGCCUCUCUGCGGCUCUCGUCGGCCGACGUCGUCGCGGCCACACGCGGCUUGACCAUCGGCGCUCCCGGCCUUGACUGCUGGUCUUCCCUCACCGCGUGGCGGCGACGGUGUGCUUCGGACUCGUCGGCAACCAACACAGGUGAGGUGAAUGGAGCUGCUGCUUGGGACAUUACGUCUCAGCAUUUGUUUAGUGGGUUUGACGCAUUGUUUCUGUCAGUCCAAAAUGCUGUCCUUCAUUCAUGUUUCAUCGUGAGCUCCAGGAUGAAGAAGUUGGGAGAAACAUAGAGUUUCUAGCUUAUUGGAGCUAGUUAUACUUAGAUAGCUAGUUUUUUUCUUCUGAUUUUUUAGUUGUGUUACCUGAUGUGAACCAUGUUUGACUGUAAUGUGCCAAGUUUGGCUCUGUUUGAUUAUAUUCAUGACGUGAACUAUGUUUUCAUGAUAUUUUGUUGUGCUCUAUUUGAAGCAUUGUGUAAAUAUUGGUUAUUUAUUUAUCGGA